rnacentral:misc_RNA from 1 species
GAACUGCGAUAAGUAAUGCGAAUUGCAGAAUUCAGUGAAUCAUCGAGUCUUUGAACGCACAUUGCGCCCCCUGGCAUUCCGGGGGGCAUGCCUGUCCGAGCGUCAUUGCUGCCCUUCAAGCCCGGCUUGUGUGUUGGGUCGUCGUCCCCUCCGGGGGACGGGCCCGAAAGGCAGCGGCGGCACCGCGUCCGGUCCUCGAGCGUAUGGGGCUUUGUCACCCGCUCGAUAAGGACCGGCCGGGCGCCAGCCGGCGUCUCCAACCUUUUUUUCUCAGGUUGACCUCGGAUCAGGUAGGGAUACCCGCUGAACUUAAGC